AUCCACCCACCUCGGCCUCCCAAAGUGCUGGGAUUAUAGGCAAUGAGUUGAUUUUUAACUACUGGGUUUAGGCCAGGCAGGCCCAGGCCUGGUUUUGGGCCUGGCGCUGGGCUGCUUGUCUUUGGUUCUACUUCCUUGUUGUUUUUUUCUUAAAAGAGGUACUGAGUAUAAAACAAUAUAAAACAAUAUGAGAGGGUCUCUCUCUUCCCUCAUUUCCCCUCUUUGAGACUCUCACUUUUUAUCAGUGGGAGUUCUCACUCUUAUUUUUGCUACUUAUGUAUUUUCGUGCAAUAGAUUGAUAGUGAUUUAUAUAGUAUGCUUGUGCUGAAGCAUUUUGGUGAACUAAGGUUAAGCGACGAAGUUUUUUAUCAUUUGGAGAAAUACAGGUAUCAGACAAGGGAGCAGUAAGCAGGUUCCUAUUACUAUUAUUACUCUUAUUAUAAGAGUUUUAAAUCCACCUAUUGCUGGGAACCAAUUUCCAAACAUGGCUCCCAGAUUGAGUCCGUGCCACACUUGCACAGGUGCAUGUGCCAGUUUUGUUAUAUCUUUAACUAUAUCCUCAACUACUUGCCCCUGAUCAUCUAUGUGUAGACAAUAAUUAGUAAGGUCAAAUUUUUCACAAACUCCUCCUUCAGCUGCUAGCAAGUAAUCAAGAGCUAGUCUAUUUUGAUAGAUAGCAUUUCUCAUCAUAGUCUCUUGCCAGGCAAGAACAGUCAAGGCUUGAGUGGUUUUAUUAGUAAU
rnacentral:lncRNA from 1 species